rnacentral:rRNA from 1 species
GGGGGGGGGGGGGGGGGGGGGGGGGGGGGGGGGGGGGGGGGGGGGGGCGGGGGGGGGGGUGGGCGGGUGUUGGCGGCGGGCGGGGGGGGAAGGCGUGGGGCACCUACCUCUGGGCCUGUGAUAACGUCGGGCAACCGGGGCUCGUGCCGGAUCAUCUUUUGACCCGCAUGGUUCGCAGGUGGAAGACGGUCUUGCUGUCACUUAUAGAUGGAUCCGCGCUGCAUUAGCUAGGUGGGAAGGUAACGGCUUACCACGGCAACGAUCAAUAGCCGACCUGAGAGGGUGAUCGGCCACACUGGAACUGAGACACGGUCCAGACUCCUACGGGAGGCAGCAGUAGGGAAUAUUCCGCAAUGCGCGAAAGCCUGACGGAGCAACGCCGCGUGAGUGAUGAAGGUCGUCGGAUCGUAAAACUCUGUUAUUAGGGAAGAACAUAUGUGUAAGUAACUGUGCACAUCUUGACGGUACCUAAUCAGAAAGCCACGGCUAACUACGUG